UACGGAGGGGGCUAGCGUUGUUCGGAAUUACUGGGCGUAAAGGGCGCGUAGGUGGCGUCGUAAGUCUGUGGUGAAAGCCCGGAGCUCAACUCCGGGUCUGCCGCGGAUACUGCGAGGCUUGAGUGCUGUAGAGGGGGGUAGAAUGCCGGGUGUAGCGGUGGAAUGCGUAGAGAUCCGGAAGAACACCGGUGGCGAAGGCGGCUCACUGGCUCAUUUCUGACGCUCAGGCGCGACAGCGUGGGGAUCAAACAGG
rnacentral:rRNA from 1 species